rnacentral:rRNA from 1 species
GAUGAACGCUGGCGGCGUGCCUAAUACAUGCAAGUCGAGCGAACAGACGAGGAGCUUGCUCCUCUGACGUUAGCGGCGGACGGGUGAGUAACACGUGGAUAACCUACCUAUAAGACUGGGAUAACUUCGGGAAACCGGAGCUAAUACCGGAUAAUAUCUUGAACCGCAUGGUUCAAUAGUGAAAGACGGUUUUGCUGUCACUUAUAGAUGGAUCCGCGCCGCAUUAGCUAGUUGGUAAGGUAACGGCUUACCAAGGCAACGAUGCGUAGCCGACCUGAGAGAGUGAUAGGCCACACUGGAACUGGGACGCGGUCCAGACUCCUACGGGAGGCAGCAGUAGGGAAUCUUCCGCAAUGGGCGAAAGCUUGACGGAGCAACGCCGCGUGAGUGAUGAAGGUCUUCGGUUCGUAAAACUCUGUUAUGAGGGAAGAACAAAUGUGUAAGUAACUAUGCACGUCUUGACGGUACCUAAUCAGAAAGCCACGGCUAACUACGUG